rnacentral:rRNA from 1 species
GACGAACGCUGGCGGCGUGCUUAACACAUGCAAGUCGAACGGUGAAAGGGAGCUUGCUCCCUGGAUCAGUGGCGAACGGGUGAGUAACACGUGGGCAACCUGCCCCAGACUUCGGGAUAACGCUUCGAAAGAGGUGCUAAUACCGGAUACGAACUCCUUGGGCAUCCUUGGAGUUGGAAAGUUUUUCGGUCUGGGAUGGGCCCGCGGCCUAUCAGCUUGUUGGGGAGGUAACGGCUCACCAAGGCGACGACGGGUAGCCGGCCUGAGAGGGCGACAGGCCACACUGGGGCUGAGACACGGCCCAGACUCCUACGGGAGGCAGCAGUGGGGAAUAUUUGACAAUGGGCGCAAGCCUGGUCCAGCCAUGCCGCGUGAGUGAUGAAGGCCCUAGGGUUGUAAAGCUCUUUCGCCAGGGACGAUAAUGACGGUACCUGGAUAAGAAGCCCCGGCUAACUUCGUGCCAGCCGCCGCAGUAACAC